UUUAAAUUGAGAGUUUGAUCCUGGCUCAGGAUGAACGCUGGCGGCGUGCUUAACACAUGCAAGUCGAGCGAGGGAGCACCUUCGGGUGUGAACUAGCGGCGGACGGGUGAGUAACACGUGGGCAACCUGCCUUACAGAGGGGGAUAGCCUUCCGAAAGGAAGAUUAAUACCGCAUAUUAUGAUUUUUCUGCAUGGGAAAGUCAUGAAAGGAGCAAUCCGCUGUAAGAUGGGCCCGCGGCGCAUUAGCUAGUUGGUGAG
rnacentral:rRNA from 1 species